UCCCCGUUAUCCGAGGCGGUUUCGCUAGAGUGCCCGACAUUACUCGCUGGCAACUAACGAUAAGGGUUGCGCUCGUUGCGGGACUUAACCCAACAUCUCACGACACGAGCUGACGACAGCCAUGCAGCACCUGUGUUCCGAUUCCCUUUCGGGCACAACCGGAUCUCUCCGGCCUCUCGGACAUGUCAAGGGUAGGUAAGGUUUUUCGCGUUGCAUCGAAUUAAACCACAUAAUCCACCGCUUGUGCGGGUCCCCGUCAAUUCCUUUGAGUUUUAACCUUGCGGCCGUACUCCCCAGGCGGUCAACUUCACGCGUUAGCUGCGUUACUAAGGGAUGUAAUCCCCCAACAACUAGUAGACAUCGUUUAGGGCGUGGACUAC
rnacentral:misc_RNA from 1 species